AGCAAUGGAUAUUCUGAUGUUGCUAGACACUUAUUUUUGAUUGUGUAUUAAUUUUCUUUACAGAUAUCCAAUCUGUUCUAUGGCAAGUUUGAUAUCAGCAGAUGUCAUGGAGACUCAAGAAGGUUCCUUAUCAUUUCCCACUGUAUGAAGUCUCUUGAACAUUACUCUGAAACAUGGAACUGCUUCACCUUGGGGUCAGAGCUUUUUACUACAUGGAAAACUUAUUUAAUCCACUUAUGGUUUCUCUGUUUCAAGUAAAUGAGUAGUUCACUGAUGCAAUGGAAGAAUUACGAAUAACUGCAAUGAAAGCACAGGCAAGCCAGAUACUAAGAUAUCACAACAGAUCCAUUCUUUGAAACAGUUCAGCUGUGCAAGUUUUCAACACAAAAGUACAUCCUGGAACUGCCACUUGGGCUGCAUUGUCCAUCACAAAAGCAAAUUUGGAUGUAAACUCUGGAAUCCUACUAAAGACAAUGGAGAUGCUAAUGAAGACACUGAGAUCAGGAUCAAGGCCGCUAGGUACAAGACAAAGGCUCGCUGAAAUGGCCAUUUUAAAAGCCUGAGGUGAAACAUAUAUAACCAGUACU
ensembl:lncRNA